UACGGAGGGUGCAAGCGUUAUCCGGAUUCACUGGGUUUAAAGGGCGCGUAGGCGGUCGUGACAAGUCACUUGUGAAAUCUCCGGGCUUAACUCGGAACGGUCAAGUGAUACUGUCGGACUAGAGUACAGAAGGGGGCAACUGGAAUUCUCGGUGUAGCGGUGAAAUGCGUAGAUAUCGAGAGGAACACCUGCGGCGAAGGCGGGUUGCUGGGCUGAUACUGACGCUGAGGCGCGAAAGCCAGGGGAGCGAACGGG
rnacentral:rRNA from 1 species